GGCAGCAGCCAGCACGGGAAGAAAAGGAUCUCAUCUGAUGUCAGGAGCUAAGCAGGGUCAGGUCUUGUCAGUACUUGGAUAGGAGACUGGUUGGGAACACCAGGUGCUGUAGGCU
rnacentral:rRNA from 1 species